CUAAAAGUUAAAAAAAGUAGUUAUUCUUGUUAAAUAUUUAUUUGAAAGAUAUUUCCUUCAUUUGUUCCGAUAUGGGUUGAGCUUGAGUAAAUUUGUCUUGAAGCAUGUUUUUGAACUAAAUAGAUUGGGUCGAACUUUGUUUUAUGAAUACUGGUUCAUACUAAAUUAGCAUACACAAGAACUCAGUCUACCAAUGAGUGCACACUUUUUGUAAACAAAUGCGCAUUAAGAAGAAUAUUUACAAGAAGAUUUAUCCUUGAUUUUUGCAAAUACCUCGUCGUAAUUGUUACAUAUUUGGUACUGGAACUUCUCGAAGAACCUAGCACUGGCAAUUCUAUAGAUGUUCCACAAAACUUGGUUCAUCCCAAAUUGUUCCUUAAAUAUUUGUUGAAUGAUCUCAACAAAAUCACUGGAAGAAUUGUGUGCAACGAAAAGGUUUGCUUGACUAAAUUUUUGAUUGUGGAACACUUGGAUUACAUGUUUAAGGUGUUUUAGAUUUUUAAUUUGGAUUAUUCUAACGGUUUAGAGAAAUUUUUGCAACUUUAAAUAUAACUUAACCUUUGGCAAGGAAUGAAUGGUUAGCACCAUCAACAAUGUAGCUCGACUUUUUCAACUAUUACAUAGACUAACUAGUGAUCACUACUGAUGAAGGCUGAAAGCUUGGCAUAGUUAAAUAUAUAAUUAUUUUGUAUGCUCAUCAUGCAACAGUUAUUAUAUUGUAUUAGCUUGAAUUUUUGGCUGCAUAAGCGGCCAAAAUUUCAAUCAUUGUAUACUCAUGCUGCAGUUGUUACAUUGUAUUUACACGAAUAUUUGUAAUGUCCGUUAAAAAAGAGUCAGUACUACGCGAGAUCAAUAUAUAUUUUAGUUUUA
rnacentral:misc_RNA from 1 species